CAAAAGCUAAGAUUGAGUUUACUCAAAACUGAAGCUUUUACUAGUAUAAUUUUAAAUUAAGAGGUUUUAAAACCCUUUUUAGUCAAAAUCUUAUUUUCUUUGUGUCUUUUCUUGUAUUUCUGUGGCUCGAGUUUGGGGUUUGGAAGCAAAAGAGGGCUCCAAGUUCAAUUCUUGAUUCGGCCGUGCAUACAAAAGCCUGCGGCCCAAUAGGAAUUUUUUUUUUCCCGAAGAUAUCGAGUCCGCAAAGAUGGAAUUAAAUAGCUAGCGCGCAUAAGGCCUAGCCAUGGGUGAAAAUGGCCAACUAGGGGCUUGGUACGCCCCUAGUGUUCCUCUAUCCUUUAUUUUGUUCCAUCUUCUUUAUUUGAGCCUUGCUUGUAUUUGUACAAAACUUGUAAAAACUCAUAUUACACUAGUGGAAUCUUUAUGUUUAUGAACUA